rnacentral:tRNA from 1 species
GGGUAUAGCUCAGUGGUAGAGUGUGUACUUAGCAAGCACGAGGUCCUGGGUUCAAACCCUAGUACGACUA